GUAGCAAUACCCUAGUAAAGCGGCGCACGGGUGAGUAACACGUGGAUAACCUGCCUCGAAGUGGGGAAUAACCCCGGGAAACCGGAGCUAAUACCGCAUAUUCUGACGAGAUCUGCGGAUUUUGUCAGGAAAGGAGCAAUUCGCUUUGAGAGGGGUCCGCGGCUGAUUAGCUAGUUGGUGAGGUAAUGGCUCACCAAGGCCACGAUCAGUAGCCGGUCUGAGAGGACGGUCGGCCACACUGGAACUGAGACACGGUCCAGACUCCUACGGGAGGCAGCAGUGGGGAAUUUUUCGCAAUGGGGGCAACCCUGACGAAGCAACGCCGCGUGGGUGAUGAAGUAUUUCGGUACGUAAAACCCUUUCGACGGGGAAGAAACCGCAAGGUUGACGGUACCCGUAGAAGAAGCCCCGGCUAACUCCGUGCCAGCAGCCCGGUAAUACGGGGGGGGCAAGCGUUGUUCGGAAUUACUGGGCGUAAAGGGCGCGUAGGCGGUUCGCUAAGUUGGAUGUGAAAACUCUGGGCUUAACCCAGAGCCUGCAUCCAAAACUGGCGAACUGGAGUACUGGAGGGGAAAGCGGAAUUCCUGGUGUAGCGGUGAAAUGCGUAGAUAUCAGGAGGAACACCGGUGGCGAAGGCGGCUUUCUGGACAGUAACUGACGCUGAGGCGCGAAAGCUAGGGGAGCAAACAGGAUUAGAUACCCUGGUAGUCCUAGCCCUAA
rnacentral:rRNA from 1 species